GACGAACGCUGGCGGCGUGCUUAACACAUGCAAGUCGAACGGAAAGGCCCCUUUUUUGUUACUCGAGUGGCUAACGGGUGAGUAACACGUGAGUAACCUGCCUUUGAUUUCCUGUUAACUUCAUUCAACUGGGUCUAAUACCUAAUAGGAAUCCUUUCUUCCUGCUUGGGGUUGGAUAGCUUCGGCGGUUUUGGAUGGAUUCGCGGCUUAUCAGCUUGUUGGUUGGUUAGUGGCUUACCAAGGCUUUGACGGGUAGCCGGCCUGGGAGGGCGAACGGCCACAAUGGGGAUGGGGUAAGGCCCAGAAUCCUACGGGGGGCAAGAGGGGGGAAUAUUGGAAAAUGGGGGGAAGGCUGAUGCAGCAAAGCCGGGGGGGGGAAGAAGGGCUUCGGGUUGUAAAACGGUUUCAGCAGGGGAGAAGCUUGGAGUGACGGUAACGGCAGAAGAAGCACCGGCUAACUACGUG
rnacentral:rRNA from 1 species